CCCUUAGAUGUUCUGGGCCGCACACGCGCUACACUGAAGGAGGCAGCGUGUACUCCUGGAUCGAAAGAUUUGGGUAACCCGCGAAUCUCCUUCGUGCUAGGGAUUGAGGUUUGCAAUUAUCCUUCAUGAACGAGGAAUUCCCAGUAAGUGCAAGUCAUAAGCUUGCGCUGGCUACGUCCCUGCCCUUUGUACACACCGCCCGUCGCUACUACCGAUUGAAUGAUUUAGUGAGGACUUCGGACUGGGACCGAUGCGGCUUUCGGGCUGCGCCGGUAUUCUGGAAAGAUGUCCAAACUGUAUCAUUUAGAGGAAGUAAAAGUCGUAACA
rnacentral:rRNA from 1 species